GGGUGCGAUCAUACCAGCACGAAUGCACCGGAUCCCAUCAGAACUUCGCAGUUAAGCGUGCUUGGGCGAGAGUAGUACUAGCAUGGUUGACCUCCUGGGAAGUCCUCGUGUUGCACCCC
rfam:Gossypium arboreum cultivar AKA8401 contig_388114_1, whole genome shotgun sequence.